GGCGUCAUAAACAAACCUUUAUUAAAAAAGAAGAAUAAUAAGAAGAAGAUUUCAUUCAAAUCACGUCUUCAUCUUCUCUCUUCUUGGACUUAGAGAGAGUGAGAGACCGAAAGAGAGGGAGAGAGAUCGGGGAAAGCACAGCCAACCAUCGGAGGCAGUCUGGGACCACCCGUCUCCAAACCCUGGAGAUGUAAAGUUGGACACCACUAAAACCGAUGCUGUGAAGUGGCUCUCAGCCUCAACUU
rnacentral:lncRNA from 1 species